AGUGAACGCUGGCGGUAGGCCUAACACAUGCAAGUCGAACGGCAGCACAGUAAGAGCUUGCUCUUACGGGUGGCGAGUGGCGGACGGGUGGGGAAUACAUCGGAAUCUACUUUUUCGUGGGGGAUAACGUAGGGAAACUUACGCUAAUACCGCAUACGAACUACGGGUGAAAGCAGGGGAUCUUCGGACCUUGCGCGAUUGAAUGAGCCGAUGUCGGAUUAGCUAGUUGGCGGGGUAAAGGCCCACCAAGGCGACGAUCCGUAGCUGGUCUGAGAGGAUGAUAAGCCACACUGGAGCUGGGACACGGUCCAGACUCCUACGGGAGGCAGCAGUGGGGAAUAUUGGACAAUGGGCGCAAACCUUAUCCAGCCAUACCGCGUGGGUGAAGAAGGCCUUCGGGUUGUAAAGCCCUUUUGUUGGGAAAGAAAAGCAGUAGGUUAAUACCACGCUGUUCUGACGGUACCCAAAGAAUAAGCACCGGCUAACUUCGUG
rnacentral:rRNA from 1 species